UCAGCAUCCGCUUUUUCUUGUGUACAUGCUAUAGUGGUUUGAUUUGAUAUAACACACCCUUUAGAGCGGCGGUCUCCAGCCCGGUUCACGACCCUCCAAGGGGUCACUAGAUAACUCUAGUAUGGAAAGGCACAGCACCUUUGCUACGGUUUGCUUUUCUUCAUGUUGUUGAUCCGCCGGCGUGUGGUGCGGACUUACCUGAACUGUCACUGGUCUUGACCUGGACGAUGUAAGUGGUGAGCUCCACCAUCAGCUCCUCGUCCACCACAGCAGCCAUCUCGCACAUGGUGGUCCUCUUCGGUCCACGGGUCCUGGAGAGCCACUCCUCAUAGGUGAACACGGACACCUCCUCUGUGGCCAGGUUACGCAGGACCACCUGCAAGCACAGAGUUAGCUGACAAAAAGUAUGAAUGCUCACUUAAUCAUGCUUACAAUAAAAACAAAGCUAACAUUUUGAUUUUAAAGGUAGAAUGUUUUCCACUUUGGAUCAACGUGUUGGUAAGAGAACAUUUAUUAAUUAGUGCACCUCAGGCUGAUGGAAACGUCCAAAAAUCAUGGACAAGUUAAAAAUGUUGACCUGAUGAUGGCGCUAGAAGGACAAUUAACCUUUUCAGCUUGAAUGUCUGCACCAAACGUUACGGUACUCCAUUCAAAUAGUUGAGAUAUCUCAGUCAGAUCCGAAGAGAUGGACCGACAUCCCAGCGUGGAUUAAAGAAGAGUUGAUAUGAAUGAAUAAAUGAUCACAUCAUGGACACACACCCUGCCUCCCCCAGGAUGUCUGAUGUCUGAUCACCGGUCCUGGGAAUCGUUUCAUUACAAGAUAAAGACUCAGCUCAGGCAGCCGCACUCGUAAUAACUCUCCACUCUGCAUAUUUAUUUGUGCAGAUUACUCUGCUGGCAGCCUGCCCGGUGCACUGUCGUGUCCUUUUCAAUACAUGCACCCGGCGAUCCAUGAAGGCAGCACAUCUGCUUGUGAUGCCGAACACACAGGGCUCUGUGCAGGGUCAAGUCAAGGAGAUGUUUCGCAGUCGCCGAGUCCCAGGCACGAGCGGACAGGGCCCGCUAUUGUUCCUGACUGCUGGGCUGCUCUGCAGGCAGUGGUGACUUCACCAGGGGAGACAUUUGCAUAGGAAAUGUGUUCUGUUUCCUCCAAACAUUUGGCCACAGACGUCAGACAGAAUUUGGAGGUGAGCGGCGGCAGUUGCACUUCCAAAGUCAUCGAAGGAGAAAAUAACUAGGUGUAUUAAUGGAGUUGAUUAUGUUGCUGGAAUAUUCAUUAAAAUUAGGGAUAUUUGCACAACCGCACACCAUUUCACUCUUAAGGAAAUUCAAAAUCUCUGAGUACUGACUACACCAACACGCUGUGCUCAUUGCUGCGUGUGCACGAGGGUGAUGGUGCCAGAACAAAGAGCGUGGUGAGUAAAUGGUUCAAAAUGCUCACUCCAGGAAUUCUGGGAGCUGCUGUGUGUGCCUGCGUAUUUGUGGCUGGGUGACUCACUCCUCCUUCUCCUGCAGGCAGGCAUAGAUGUGUGUCUGUUUUUGUGUGUGAUAUAACAGAUUGAGUGAUCCUGUGACCUACAGCGUACAGUGCCAGCGUAGAAAACACAAACCUCCAAGUGCUUUGUACUAUUGAUUUUGGAAGAACGUGCUGCUUUUUGUGCUCCUGGUUUCAUGGUUUAUGGAGGAAAUUAGCGAUUGUAUGAGAUUAGCCCUUAACGGGAAUAUAGAAUUCCUCUGCAUGGUGCAAUGUAAGCUCACUCUGGAGACUUAAACCUGUUUAAAGCCUUUCUUUUGCUGUAAUUGUUGACAGAUUUCUUGCAUCUAAACACGUUUAUCCUGGUGCCUACUUUACCCACAAUGCAACUGAACCACUGACUGAUUGUUGACUAGAGCUGCCUCAGGCAGAGAUGAGGAGGAGGCCACAGAGGUCAGGUGAUCUGACCUGAUCCAGGAACCAGUCGGGUCGACUGCCGGAGCCAUCGAUGCGAAGCCUCAUUUUCCUCAGUGGAGCGACGUCAUCGAUCUCCAUGUUGAAAGUGUCCUCCUGACCGCGCUCGAACCUGUUGUGGAACACAUAGAGGACACAGAGUUUAUGAGGUGCAGUGUAAGAAGACUGUUUCUCCACAAUGCUUUUUUUCCAUGAAGGGCUACCUGUCCUCAUUCUUCUGCAGCAGCAUCUCCUCCGUGCUGCCGUUGGCUCCGAAUACAGACAUGAAGAUCAGGGUGUCUGUUCCUGCGUCCUGCACGUCCCCCGUUACUACGGUAACCUCGUAAAUAAUCUGAUGGGAAUAUAUUAGACGUUAAGUUAAAUCAAAUAACAUUAUAUUUAUAGUUAUAUUUCUAAGUAACAUAAAUAGAUAUGAAGACAAAGGACAACCAUUUAAUGGAAUAAAUGAACCUCAAAUAUGUCAAUUUUGAUGCAUAUUCUUAGCUGAACAACUUAAUCAUUACACACCACAUUACGGAUAUCUAAAUACCUGCUGGGAGAUGGAAAUGGCCUCUGCAUCCAGCACGCUGAACACUCGAGCAGUCAGACCAUCUCCUCGAUCUUUGGCCAGCCAGCACUUGCAAGCAAAGAUAUAUUUGACCCCUUUGGUUGGCACAGCAACAGACAGCUCAUCAACCAGCCAGCAGCUCUCAGGAGUGGCCCCGUCAUGACCUAGCUGCAGGCACCACGGGCAACAAUCACUACCAGAAACGUGGGUGGGUUUUUUCUCUUUUUUUUUUCCAAUGUGCGAGUGUGUGCGGAUGCUUGAAAGCGGACGAUCAUCCCGCCCCCUCACCUCGACUUUUUUGAUCUCCCCCACGUCUGAGCCGUGGCACUGAAAGCUCUCCAGGGAGCCGGCCUCAAAGCCCUUCCUCUCGCCCGGCAGGUCCAGCCACAACCUCUGUGUCUGGGUGUGAUUGGCCCCGAUGAUGAUCACAUAAGCCCUGCUGGUGGUGCUCGCGUCCCGCUCCAGUCCGGUGCAGAUGGUGAUGUGGUAUGGAAUGACUGCAGAGGAAGGCAACGGCACUUAUUAACUCACGGCGCGCCAGAGAUUAUGUAAAGAUGUCCCCGUUAGAACGGUGAUGACAAACAUUACAGUUUACAAUGCCGAAUCAUUUUCUUACUGGGAAGCUCAACUUCCUCCUCCUCCUCCUCCUCCUUCUUCUUCUUGCUCUUUUUGUUCAUGUUAUUGUCGACGCUCUUCACUGUCACAGCUGUGUUCUUCUUUUUACUGCUUUCUCUAACACCUUCGUAGCCCUGGAAUAACACAACACACACACACACACACACACAGUGAUGCAGGUACAUACAGCAACACAGAUUACUAAUACCUGUAUCACCUCCUACACAUAAUCGCAGUCGUCUUCAAUGCUACCUUGACAUAGAAGACUCUCUCAAUGCGUCGGUCCUCCCUCUUCCUGGACAGCCAACGCUCACAUAAGAAGAGAUACACCUCUUCUGUGUCCACGUCGAACACCUCCACCUGGUCCAAGUACCAGUCGGCACUCAUCAUGCUGUUGUCGUGGCGCAUUUUGAUCCUGAAAACCUGUCCGAGGUCAACGGCUUCUAUAGUGAACUUAUCCACCUAAAAGAUGAGCGUGAACAAGGAAAUAAUAACAGAGGCUUAAGCGCGUACUGGGUUCGAUGUAUUUGCUGUGGCACACAAAAGGCUUUCUUACAGAUCCCCGUUCAAACUUGUUGCUGUUUGUCUCCGACUUGCGGAGUUUCCUCUCCCCAGUGUCCCCCUGGUCCCCGUAAAUGGUGAGGAAGACGUUGGCGUCGGUGCCGGCUCCGUACACGUCGCCCGUCGUCACCGACACUGUGUAUGUGUGAGCUGCGUGGGGAAGGUGGGCAGGGGGGGGGGAGUCUUGUGUCAGAACUGUCUCUCAGAAAGGUGGGUGUCCACAACAGGCCCGACACAUGGCGCAGGUAUUCCUGCUGUGUUCUGCUGAAUGUGAUGACAUACUCUCCAGGGCAUCUUCCACCUCCACCUCGGUGACUUUCAGGUUCCCGUCUCGGGAGAGCUUCUCGGUGAUGAUGUCCGAGGGCACCAGCUCUCGCACGGUUUCUCCGUCGUCCUCCGACUUGGCGAGCCAACAUUCGCACGGGAAGAUGACGGUCUCCGAGCCCUACAGAGAGAGGAGGGCCGAUUCAUUUAGAACAUCACCACCUGCUGACCGAAAAUGGUGGUUGAGGGUCACCAGUGGAUGUGUUGGUUUUUUUUUUUUUGUUACCUUUCCCUUCCGGAGCAGACGUCUGAUCUCCACUCGGUCCAGGUGCCAGCCCGGGUUGACCCCCCGGUUGUCAUGGCCGAUCCGGAUCUUUUCAAUUACAUCCCCCACAUCUUCUAGCUGCGCAGAAAGCAGAAAUAAACGACCUGAAUGCAUUGAAUUCAGCCUGAAGUGAUGCCUUUGCUGUUCUCCAA
ensembl:lncRNA